AGUGUGGCAUUCACAUUUUUAUAAUUUCUACCAUAACCAAGAUAAUGGGAAUAAACAUUGCCUAUAUUACAUUUUUGUCACAGGAAAACUGGGGAUCUAUUUUUUUCACAAGAGCAGAUUACACUCAUUACUACUAAUAACAGUAAGCAUUCUGAAUAACUCUCUAA